rnacentral:lncRNA from 1 species
UUUGAGGCAUACAUCACUCCUGGUUAAAAGACAUUCUAUUUGCCCUUACUUGCUUUUCACAGUGAACCAAUGAGUAGAAAACAGUUCACAGGAGUCAGUGUUUGUGGUUGCCUGUCAUGGGAAACGGGCCAGAAUUCUUGAUGCCCUACCAAAUUCAGAGCCAAUAUACUGCACCGUGUGUCAAGCAUUCUUUUUUACUGGUGAAGUGGAGACUUGGUCAGCUGAAAUGUAAAAAUCUACUUUCCAAAAGAUAGAAGAUGCUGAACAUCCAACAAAGUAUCCCCGGGGGUGGGGAGGGGGACUCUAACCU